GAGUGUAAGCUGCUAUAUGAAGGGAUCCACAAGACGAAUAAUUAAGGGGGACCUCUGAUCAACAGCCAGCAAGGAACUGAAUCCCUCAGACCCACAACUCACAAGAAACUGAAGCUGAAGCAGAUUCUUCCUCAGUCAAGCUUCAGGUGCCCAGCUGUAUUGGUAGAGGAGACCAACCACACCCUCCACAGCACAGCACCUGGAGAGGAACUGCUGCCAUGACCAUAGAGGACACCCUCUGGAUACAAUGCCAGACUUGAUGUGGGACUGACCAACCUAUGGACCCCAGGCACCACCACCCAGACCUGCUCAGCACCUGAAACAUUCACAGCCGUGGAGAGAGAACUGUUCACUGCUACCAUCCACACUUCUGGGCCCCUUCAGCAGCAGGGUGACAAGGAAGAGGGAAAUCGACUUGGAAAAGAGGGGACCUCUGACCCAAGAGUUCGGUCAAUGCAUAUGUUGGCAGCCAGCUGCACAUCGCACCAAAUAUGAACUUCAAAUAGAAGAAAGCCUCAUUUGGAAGAAAGCUCAUGCACAGACUGUAAAUAUUUCAGAGCAGAUUGUGUCUCUGUAGAUUAAUCUAGGACCAUCAUCACAGAGAAUUUUUCUGCAUGAAUUCCUGCCAUGGUUAUCACCAGGCUCAUGAGUGAGAUAUCGGAAGGCACACAAACUUCCACGGACCCUAUUAAAAAAUACUCUUUCCUGA
ensembl:lncRNA MIR3976HG MIR3976 host gene